GCCGGCAGACCAGAUGGACAAUCCAGCCCUGAGGAUUGUAGAGCCACUGGACAGCUAUGAGUAGUGAAGGAACAGUUGGGGCCAGCAGAGGGCACUGAGUUAGUUCCUGCCCCGUAGUGAUUUACAUUGUGAAAGGAAAAAGAAGAGGAAGGAGUCCUGACUGGGGAUAGUGUGGACAGCCCCACCCCACCCUGGCAGAGAAAACCACAGCUGAACAGUGACAUCUCUCCACCAUAACACAAACAUGGCAGGCGCACACAGCAAUCCAUCAUGGAGCAGGCAUCUGUUCAAAGCUGUCCUAAUGGUCCUAGGGGCCCUUCUCCUCGUCCACUCAGCAUCAGCCCAGACUCAUCGAGAGUUUGCCUCACCUGGCCAACAGAAGAGGGAGUCCUCAGCUGAUAUUCUGACCGAGAUUGGCCGAUCUCUGAAGGAGACGU
rnacentral:lncRNA from 1 species